GACGAAGGAUGCAAGCGUUAUCCGGAUUCAUUGGGUUUAAAGGGAGCGUAGGCGGACUUGUAAGUCAGUGGUGAAAUCUGUGGGCUUAACCCACAAACUGCCAUUGAUACUGCAGGUCUAGAGUACAGUUGCCGUUGGCGGAAUAUGACAUGUAGUGGUGAAAUACUUAGAUAUGUCAUAGAACACCGAUUGCGAAGGCAGCUAACGAAGCUGUAACUGACGCUGAGGCUCGAAAGUGCGGGGAUCAAUCAGG
rnacentral:rRNA from 1 species